AUGCCCCUCCCAUCCCAGCUCUCCACCGGCGCCGCUCCUGUCCAGGGCGUUCAGCAGCGGCCAUGCCGUUCAAUGACACAAACAAGGAGGCAUGGAGCUCCGACUAUGUAUGGGAGGCAAGCUGUUGCUGCACUUGGUCUACCCGAUGGUCGUUGUUCUGGAUGUACUUGGACGGCAGCAUUACAUUCUAGUAACGAUGUUGGCUAUGGCAACAGCAGCAAUUUCCACUUGCAGCUGUUUUUAAUUUCUGCAUUUCUUCUAUAG
rnacentral:rRNA from 1 species